CCGAUCGCAGCUACCAUGCAGUCGAGCGGGGGAGGUUGCUUCGGUAAUUGACCUAGCGGCGGACGGGUGAGUAAUACUUAGGAAUCUGCCUAUUAAUGGGGGACAACAUCUCGAAAGGGAUGCUAAUACCGCAUACGCCCUACGGGGGAAAGCAGGGGAUCACUUGUGACCUUGCGUUAAUAGAUGAGCCUAAGUCGGAUUAGCUAGUUGGUGGGGUAAAGGCCUACCAAGGCGACGAUCUGUAGCGGGUCUGAGAGGAUGAUCCGCCACACUGGGACUGAGACACGGCCCAGACUCCUACGGGAGGCAGCAGUGGGGAAUAUUGGACAAUGGGGGGAACCCUGAUCCAGCCAUGCCGCGUGUGUGAAGAAGGCCUUAUGGUUGUAAAGCACUUUAAGCGAGGAGGAGGCUCUUUUGGUUAAUACCCAAGAUGAGUGGACGUUACUCGCAGAAUAAGCACCGGCUAACUCUGUGCCAGCAGCCGCGGUAAUACAGAGGGUGCGAGCGUUAAUCGGAUUUACUGGGCGUAAAGCGUGCGUAGGCGGCUUUUUAAGUCGGAUGUGAAAUCCCCGAGCUUAACUUGGGAAUUGCAUUCGAUACUGGGAAGCUAGAGUAUGGGAGAGGAUGGUAGAAUUCCAGGUGUAGCGGUGAAAUGCGUAGAGAUCUGGAGGAAUACCGAUGGCGAAGGCAGCCAUCUGGCCUAAUACUGACGCUGAGGUACGAAAGCAUGGGGAGCAAACAGGAUUAGAUACCCUGGUAGUCCAUGCCGUAAACGAUGUCUACUAGCCGUUGGGGUCUUUGAGACUUUAGUGGCGCAGCUAACGCGAUAAGUAGACCGCCUGGGGAGUACGGUCGCAAGACUAAAACUCAAAUGAAUUGACGGGGGCCCGCACAAGCGGUGGAGCAUGUGGUUUAAUUCGAUGCAACGCGAAGACCUUACCUGGUCUUGA
rnacentral:rRNA from 1 species